rnacentral:rRNA from 1 species
UACGAAGGGGGCUAGCGUUGCUCGGAAUGACUGGGCGUAAAGGGCGCGUAGGCGGAUGGCACAGUCAGAUGUGAAAUUCCCGGGCUUAACCUGGGGGCUGCAUUUGAUACGUGUUGUCUAGAGUGAGGAAGAGGGUUGUGGAAUUCCCAGUGUAGAGGUGAAAUUCGUAGAUAUUGGGAAGAACACCGGUGGCGAAGGCGGCAACCUGGUCCUUGACUGACGCUGAGACGCGAAAGCGUGGGGAGCAAACAGG